UUAGUUGUUCAAAAAGCCUUAGGUUUAAUUUUUUCAGUCAUCCAUCAUAAAUAAACACUUGAGACAAAUUAAGUAAUCUGCCUUAUUAACCUAUAUUUUUGUUUAUUUCUGCCCAAUAUAAGCAUAUGUAAUUUUGAAAUACUAACUGCAAUUGUCAAAACAGAAAAUUAUAAGUUUUGAUUACUAAACCUCUGGAAGACAAUACACUUUAAAAUAAUACAUUUUAAAGAAAACAGACUUUUAUCUAUACAUUUCAUUAACCACAGACAAAGAUGCUUUAGGAGUAUUAUAAAAUAAUAUUACCUGACUAUAUUCAACAGGGUAAGUUGUAAGAUUGGUGGUUCAGAACUCUACAUUGCUUUGGAUAUAGAAUUUGAAAUGACUACCUUAAAUAAACCUAUAUGGAAUCACCAUUAAAACAUAAUGCAUUUAUUUUUAAUCAC
rnacentral:lncRNA from 1 species